rnacentral:rRNA from 1 species
GAUGAACGCUGGCGGCGUGCCUAAUACAUGCAAGUCGAGCGAACAGAUGAGGAGCUUGCUCCUCUGACGUUAGCGGCGGACGGGUGAGUAACACGUGGAUAACCUACCUAUAAGACUGGGAUAACUUCGGGAAACCGGAGCUAAUACCGGAUAAUAUAUUGAACCGCAUGGUUCAAUAGUGAAAGACGGUUUUGCUGUCCCUUAUAGAUGGAUCCGCGCCGCAUUAGCUAGUUGGUAAGGUAACGGCUUACCAAGGCAACGAUGCGUAGCCGACCUGAGAGGGUGAUCGGCCACACUGGAACUGAGACACGGUCCAGACUCCUACGGGAGGCAGCAGUAGGGAAUCUUCCGCAAUGGGCGAAAGCCUGACGGAGCAACGCCGCGUGAGUGAUGAAGGUCUUCGGAUCGUAAAGCUCUGUUAUUAGGGAAGAACAAAUGUGUAAGUAACUAUGCACGUCUUGACGGUACCUAAUCAGAAAGCCACGGCUAACUACGUG